AUUUUCGAAUUCACUCCUUGAGUUUCAUUAUUAUUAUUAAUUUAUUGAUUAAUGAGUUCAGAGUUUUAAUAAUAAGAUACAAUUAAUGUAAGUACACAUAACGGUAUUGUAAUAAUAAUUCUGAAUUAUAUAAUGAUAGAAUAAUGGAUAUACAUAAUAACUAAUAAGUAAUUUCAACAAACCAUUACCCUAGGUAGUAGCUUUUAAAAUAUAUCUAGCAAGAUAUCCUGCAACAUAUUCAAUGUUCAUAUCAGUCAUUGUUGAAACAUAGUUAUAGACAUCAUGUAUGAUUGGGAUAUUUAUCAAAUCUGCUUUUUCUUCAUAAAUGGAUAAUGGUAAUGCAAACAUGUUGAAUAAGAAUGAAUAAGCCUUGGGAGAAGUUUUAUAAAUUGAUAGUGCAAAUAUUUUAUCAUCCAAUUUAUAUCUUCAACUCUUAGGAGAUUUCUGCUGAUUAAUUAUUUGACUUUUAAUAAAGUUUAAAGUUGACUUAUUCACCUUAUUACUUAGUUGUGAGUAACUACUAUUUUUCAGACUUUUAGUUAUAAGUUGUAAUUUUUUUUUGAAGGAUACCUUUAAUGUUGCCAUACGUUUAACUCUUUUCUUCAUUUUCAAAGCUUGGUAAUACAAUUUUUUUUUGAUUGGAGUCAAUUGUCCCACUUUCUGAAACCCAGUGUCAUUCAAAAUAUUUCUGUUGACUUCUAUAGAAAACAUACAGAAAGUUGAGCUACUACUACAAGGUUCAGAAAGUGUUGUUGGUGCUAUUAUUCCAUCUAAAUCUAAAGAGGUAACUAGUAUUUCAUAGUCUACACCCUGUUCAUCAGUUUCAACAUAAUCUAUAGAAUUAAAAAAAAAAAAGUGUUUUUAGUGUUUUCACUCAUUAUUUUUAUUGAAAAUGUUUAUUACACUUACUAUUAAUAUGUAUUAGAUUUAAACAGUCUUGAAUAUGAUAGUGAACAUCCAUGACCAGAGUAUAAUAUUACUUCUAUAGUUCUAUUAAGUUGUAUAUUAAAUACUCUGCUAGGACUCGAACCUAGAAUCUCUGUUUUGAGAUUGCCAAUGAAGAAAAUUAAACUAUAAUAGAUACGUUCUAAACUAUUGUUUUUCAAAGUAAAUAUGUUAAUAGUUAUUAUUUUAAUGUUUACAUGUUAUACAAUUAAUACUGGUUGAUGCUACUAUUUGUUAGAAUACAAAAUAUUUUUAAAUAUCACAUUAUAUAAUAUGUACUUCAAAUUAAUGCUUACAUUAUGUUCUGUAAUAAA